CCAGCCCCGCGUGCAGCUCGCACCCCUUCCCACGCCUGUUCGGGGGAGAGCCCCGGGCCUGGAGUGGGAAGCCUGGCUCCAGCUCUGGUUACCUGCAGUGACUCCCCAGGCCGUUUAGGCGAGUCCAUUGGGCCGCCUCUGCCUCGGUUUCCCCACCUAACCACGGAAGGUGCUCCUCCCUUCCAGGCAUCUGUGGUCUUCGAGCUCCACGCGGGAGAGGCGCCGGUCUGGCACCUCCUGCCCAGGGUCGGCGCCUCCUGGCUCUCGGGGAGGGGGGCAUCCUCCAUCCCCUGCACCUGCCUCGAGAGGAACCAGGGACAGAGCACCCCCACCCCCACCAGGAGCUCCGGAAAAACGGCUUCAGAAGAGCAAAUAUACACACACACCCACCUCCCGCCCCAAACAUCCCCGAAGAAAGGUAACCACAGAAACAGCCAGAAAUGUGGAGCUGGGCGAUCGUAUGAGGCUGAGACAAAACUGUCUUUCUAGCGUCUCUAGGGGAGAGCUUGAAUCCCUCCUUCCACUCCUCCUCCACGGAAAACAGAGUGAACUCCUGCUACAGAGGCCGCCAGAGCAACAUGCAAGACCAGCUUUGAGGGGAGCGGGCACAGGGCCUUGCAGGGAAGGUGGGCCGAGCCCAGACCCCUCAUUCUUACUUGGCUCUGAAGGCGGAAAGGCAAAGCUAGACCUCGAGGAAGUUCCCCUCCCUGUGGGCCCUACAGUGAAGAUUACAUGAAGGCAUGUGGGCGGUGGACCAGAGUGCACCGACUGAUGAAGGCGGCCCGGUACCCGCGGGUGCCAUGCCUCCUUCUUAGCCAAGGCCACUCUAGCUCCCCGUGAAGUAUCCAGGUAGAAGGCUGGUGGGGUUACAGGAGUGUAUCUCUCUCAGAUGAGAUACAAGUUGGUCCCUUCCCUUGCGUCCCUCCUGUUCCUUCAAGAGGAGGACUGUCUACCCACCCCGAAGCUUCAUGGAGAGAGAGCACACCGUCGUUAUUCAAUAUGUAGUUUUGAAUUUAACUAGAGCAAAGAAGAAAGCAAAUUCAGGUGGAAGGAAGAAGAAAAGGGAAAAGGGCUGUCCCCAUCCUUCUAAGGAGAUGGUGCAGUGGCUCACCUUUGGGA
rnacentral:lncRNA from 1 species